rnacentral:tRNA from 1 species
GGGUAUAUAGCUCAAUUGAUAGAGUGCCUGCUUAGCAUGCAGGAGCUCCUGGGUUCAAUUCCCAGUACCUCUA